GCAAAGGUAGCUUAACGGAUUAAAGCACAGCACUGAAAAUGCUUCAAAGGGAGUUAAAGUCCCUCCCUUAGCA
rnacentral:tRNA from 1 species